CUACUCCCACUCUCUUUCUGCUGCCUCUCCUCUCUUCUCUCUCAGCCUCAGCCUAUCUCUCUUCUCUCCCUUAGCCUCAACGAACUCCCUCAGUCGCACUCUCUCUCACCGAUUGACAAAGGCUCGGGGCUGCAAGGGGCUGGACGACACAGAGGCUUGGGGGUUGUGAGGGGCUCGAUCGACAGAGGCUCGGGGGUUGCGAGGGGUUGGACGACGGAGUGGCUUAGGGCUGGUGUGGGCUCUGGGGCUGGACGACGUGGAGGCUUGGGGGCUCGUUGGGGCUGGAUGACAUGGAGGCUUGGGGGCUCGUUGGGGCUGGACAACGCGGAGGAUUGGUGGCUCGUUGGGGCUGGACGACUCAGAGGCUCGAAAGUGUAUUGGACUGUAAUAGGCAUUGCGUGAUUAUGUCUCUGUGGAUGCUGAUGGCAAAGAUGUUGGGACAUAUGAAAGCAACAGACUUUGCUUUUCUUCAAUAUCGAAAGAUGCUAUUUUUCUAGACAAGGAACUUGCUGCUAGUGGUUUUAGUAGAAAGGAUCAAGAAGACAUUGAAAAGUUCAUCGAAGAAGGUGUUGGUUCCUUGCACUUGGAAGAUCAGGACGACCAAACAAUAGAUUAUGCGGAGGCAGGGGAGCUCAAGGACAAAGAACAUGAUCACUAAGCAGGUGAAAGCAGCAUACCUGAAACUGAAGAUACAAAUGACGAUGAGGGGGGAUGAGUCCGCAGAUGAAGAUGAGGCAAAACUGGCAAGGAGCUUAAACAAGCAGAGGAAACACGCUAUAUCGGCAGUGCAUAGGGGACGAGGAAAAACUGUCUCCAGAAAUUCCUACAAAGACAAGGGUGGUCUAUAUUGAGAUGCAUUUCUUUGGUGCAAUACUAGACAACAUUGGCAGUUAAAGUUUUUAGAAUAAAAAAUAUAUUUCACUUACAUUGUAUACAUUUUUUGUUUAAUAUUUGGUGAUGAUAGAAUUUGAUUGUAGUAUAAACUAUCAUGUAAUAUGAUUUUGUAAGCCGAGUAGACUAAAUAUUGAAAUUAUAUUUUUGAGUAAUUAAUAAGAAAUUAUUUUGUUGUA